AUUGAACGCUGGCGGCAGGCCUAACACAUGCAAGUCGAACGAGUGGCGGACGGGUGUGUAAUGUCUGGGAACCUGCCUGAUGGAGGGGGAUAACUACUGGAAACGGUAGCUAAUACCGCAUAGCAUCGGUUGUGCCCAGAUGGGAUUAGCUAUUAGGUGGGGUAGAGGCUCACCUAGGCGACGAUCCCUAGCCGGUCGGAGAGGAUGACCAGCCACACGGGAACGGAGAAACGGUCCAGACUCCUACGGGAGGCAGCAGUGGGGAAUAUGGGACAAUGGGCGAAAGCCUGAUGCAGCCAGGCCGCGUGUAUGAAGAAGGCCGUCGGGUUGUAAGGUACUUUCAGCGGGGAGGCGUUACCCGCAGAAGAAGCGCCGGCUAACUCCGUGCCAGCAGCCGCGGUAAUUC
rnacentral:rRNA from 1 species